GUCCCUGUCGAUUAGUGGUCAGAUCAUUACGUUGUGGCGCUUCUACCUCAAGUGGAUAUGCAGAACCGUGAAGACGCGGGCUCGACUCCCGCCGGGGACA